AAAACCAGUCUCAGUUCGGAUUGUAGGCUGAAACUCGCCUACAUGAAGCUGGAGUUACUAGUAAUCGCGAAUCAGAAUGUCGCGGUGAAUACGUUCCCGGGUCUUGUACACACCGCCCGUCACACCAUGAGAGUUGGCAAUACCCGAAGUCCGUGAGCUAACCGCAAGGAGGCAGCGGCCGAAGGUAGGGUCAGCGAUUGGGGUGAAGUCGUAACAAGGUAGCCGUAGGAGAACCUGCGGCUGGAUCACCUCCUUUCUAAGGAA
rnacentral:rRNA from 1 species